AACCGCCGUAUGCGGACCCGCAUGUACGGUGGUGUGGGGAGGGGGAGCUAAUCACUCCCCCUUACCCGAU
rfam:Lentisphaerae bacterium GWF2_49_21 gwf2_scaffold_410, whole genome shotgun sequence.